AUCCAGUGUUCUGGAGAAGAAAAACUAUUGUUUCUAAAAAAAAGAAUUAAUAAUGAUUUUAAAAAUCUGUGAGAGGUAAAUAAUUUUUUUGAAAAUUGCUUUCACAAGAAAAUCAUUUUUGAAAUAAUUGAAAUAAAGUGAUUUUAAACAAGUUAUAUAUCAUGAUUGACGAUAUAUAGUAAACAAAAACAAUGUGACAGUUCUGAAGGAAUUUCUCUCAGAUUUUAAACAACAAGAACAUAUAAUGAACCUUAAUAAAUGGUUUCACAUCUGUCUUUCUGCUCUGUUAGUCAGUUGGGGCGUGGUCUGUGUAUGUGUUGGUGUAGUAGACCUGGGGGCGUGUCCUAGACAACCACGCCUUCCUUUCUGGAUACUUUUUCAGGGUUUAGUGAUUUCUGUGGCUGGGCUGGUUAUCCUUGUCCUGCCUACCUGCAGAAGAGGGAACAAAAAUGCAAGG